UGACCGCGUAUGAAAGUACGUUUUCACCCUCGGGUGACAGGGAGACAGGUGGUGCAUGGUUGUCGUCAGCUCGUGUCGUGAGAUGUUGGGUUAAGUCCCGCAACGAGCGCAACCCCUACGUUUAGUUGCUAACGCGUGAAGGCGAGCACUCUAGACGAACUGCCGUUGACAAAACGGAGGAAGUGGGAUGACGUCAAAUCAUCAUGCCCUUAUGUUCUGGGCUACACACGUGCUACAAUGGCCGGUACAGACGGACGCAAAGCCGCGAGGUGGAGCAAAUCCUAAAAAGCCGGUCUCAGUUCGGAUUGCAGGCUGCAAUUCGCCUGCAUGAAGUCGGAAUCGCUAGUAAUCGCAGGUCAGCAUACUGCGGUGAAUACGUUCCCGGGCCUU
rnacentral:rRNA from 1 species